GCCUGGCUGGCUCAGUGAGUAGAGCAUGUGACUCUCAAUCUACAGGUCCUGAGUUCCAGCCUCACGUUGGGCA
rnacentral:tRNA from 1 species